UGGAAUGAAACUUGCAGGAAAAGACUCAGAAAGACCAUUUAGGACUGUACUUAAUAGCUGUUGAAAAGUGGUCGCAGUCCUUUAUCAAGGAUAUCUCUGCAUUUUCUUAACAAUGGAUAUCCAACAGUUGCUCCUACUCCUCACUUUCCUCUUUCACUCAACAUAAAGCAGACUCAAUACUCCUCAAUGCCUCACCAAGGUUCGUUAGCUUCAUUAAUAGUGUUAUUGUUUCAAUAAA